GGGCAGAGUGGCCGGCCGGGGGAGGGGCGGGACUAGACGUCCGAGGCUCCGCGCGCGCCCCGCCCUUGGGCCCGCGGGCUGCUUGGAGAGAGUCCGUUCUAGCGCGUCUCAAACUCUUAUUAAUCGCCCGGUGUCUGCGCUAGGAUGGAUCAACGGGAAACGGGUAAUUCCAACACAAUCCGGAGACAGGAAUGCCCCCAGAAGCAAAGGGACAAAGAGGGGCGGCCUAAAUCAGGGUGGUGCGCUCGUCAGUGUUUAACACCCGGCCUCUGAUUUGCAAGUUUAUUGGCAGACCAGUGUAUCUAACAUGGCUGGACGUGUUACUGGAACAUCCAGGUGGAGAUGCCCAGCGGGCAGUUGGACAUGAGGAAGCCUCAAGCUCAUACCUCCAGGCUGGAGAUUGAUGAGGAGUCUUCAGCAGUUUACACAAGAUGAGGCUCUGAACGUGGAUACUGACACGCGAGUGACUGAAAGCACAGGCAGAAGAGGGGCCUGUGGGGCCUGGAAAGGAGCCAUCCCAGAGACAGGGGAACCAGGAGAGGGCCGUGGAGACCAAGAGCCUGUGGACUUGUUCCCUCCAACACCUGCAGGGAGGCUGCUGGCCUGGAUACAGGUUUCUAGACAAGGGAAAGGUAAUAGAAAUGAAAACUAUGUUUUUGAGCUUUCUGGGCAUGAUGGAAAAGCUAGUCACUGGGUUCCAGUUCCGGCUCUGCCACUAAUUUGAUGUUAAUACCUAGGGCAAAUCACCUCACUCUCAGGACCUUUUCAUCAGCUGUAACAUAAAAGGACCUACAGGCAAGAGGAGGGGAGAGAGGCUGGAGGACUGAGUCCGUGCAGCCCUCCCUGCCCCCUCCACUCCCUGCCCCUCAACCGCAGCAGCUCUGCCUUCCUGUUGCCAUGUUCCCUUUCACCUCACAUUGGAAAAGUAGCCAGAGCAUAAACUACUAAACUAAAUGGAUCUCUGAAGCCCACCUAAAAAUCUGGUAUUGCCACCAUGUCCCCCAGCUUUAAUGACCAUCUCCAGGCUGGCAGUGGUCAGAUUUCUGUUUUCAGUCGAGAGGAGUACUCCAGCAUCUCCAGCUGCCUGUAAGCCGUCUCUAUUUACAUGUCUUGACAUCAGGUCAAACUCAACUGUCUGAAACUAAAUUUAUCGUCCCUAAAAGAGCUCCUCUGCCUAGCUUCCCUCUUUUACUCAUAGGCACCCCAUUUAUGCCAGUUUCCAAUUCUCCUUGCUCCCCAGCUCCUCCCUCUCCAAAUCUGUCACCUCUAUGUCUUUCAAGUCUUUUAUCCCCCUCCUCUGCCUAGGGACAGGGCCCUUCCACUCUCCUGAAGUACCCCUCGAUUGCUGCCUCUCUUUUUCUCCCCAUGCCCACCGUCCAUGACAAGGCCUGCCUUAUUUGGGUGAAACUGCCAUAGGCAACUCUUAACUGGCCUCUCCAUCAGCAGCUUAUCCUCCAAGCACUCCGCCUGAGUGUUAGGGGAGUUAGUCUGGGGGACAGGAGUUCAAGUUUGGGAGUGAGGUAGAUACACAAACGACUAUGUGGGGAUCAGAAUUGGCCACCCCAAAAUGUGUCUCUGUGGCUUAUUUUUAAGGACAAAAGACUGAAACUGUGACCUUCCCUCUUACUGCCUAAAAGAUUUUAAGGUAAAAGGCUUGAGCUCUCUCGCGUCACUUUCCCCAACAUCCUCCUAUGUCUUUAGCUUAAGAUGGUAUUUAAGGUGGUGGCUUCAGCCAUUUUGGCAAGUUACUCAGUUUUCCUGGGUUUCCCCCAUGUAUACACGUUAUUAAAUUUUGUUUGAUUUUCUCCUGUUAUUCUGUCUCAUGUCAAUUUAAUUCUUAGACCAGCCAGAAGGACCUAGAGGGGAGAGGAAUUGUCUUUCUCCCCUACAACUAAUAGUAGUCAGAGAUGAGGGGUUGAAAAUCAGGAGGAAGAACUGGAAUCGUCUGCACGAGAAUAAGAGCAGAAACUCUUUAACAGUGGAUGAGAUCCUACAAGGAGAAUGCGUGACACUGCAAAAGACAAAGGAGCAGACUUGAGAAUUACCGUAUUGGGUUUAGAGCCUUGCAUACAGAGGGAGUCCCAGGGGAUAUGCACGUGCAUGUGUGUGAAAACACACACCACACACAUAGAUACAUAUAAUUGUUUCCAAAUUUCUGAUGAAGUUGUCUACAAAUCAGAAGAACUGAGUUCGAAACUUUGCCCCAUCACCUAAGGCCAUGUGACUUUGGGCAAAUUUAUUUAACAUAAGGAUAGCAAUGUAAUAUAGCUACAUGGGCUAGAAAGGUCUGUGGAGUGAAGCUGGCAACUCAAAGAGAAAAAAGUACAGUGAAUUGAAACAGGCCCCUGGCUCUGGCCUCCUGUUUCCAGGCCAGCAUCCAGCAAAGAAGUCAGGUGUAGCGUAGCACCUAUGACCAUGCACUCUGGAAUUAGAUUGUUCUUAAAUCCUGGCUCUACCACUGAUUUGCUGUAUGAUCUUAUUCUCUCCAUGCCUUUAUUUCUCCAUCUGUAAUAUGGAGAUAAUAGCACACAUAUAACAUUGUUGGGAGAAUCACAAAACAUUAUAAGUGCUUGGAAGCUACUUGGCACUGAGUAACAACUCCAUAAAUUUUUUUUUUUUUACGAUUGGCCCUGAGCCAACAUCUG
ensembl:lncRNA